AGAGUUUGAUUCUGGCUCAGGAUGAACGCUAGCUACAGGCUUAACACAUGCAAGUCGAGGGGCAGCAUUGGAGUAGCAAUACUUCAGAUGGCGACCGGCGCACGGGUGAGUAACACGUAUCCAACCUGCCGCUUACUCGGGGAUAGCCUUUCGAAAGAAAGAUUAAUACCCGAUGGUAUAAAGAGUUCGCAUGUUCUCUUUAUUAAAGAAUUUCGGUAAGCGAUGGGGAUGCGUUCCAUUAGAUAGUUGGCGGGGUAACGGCCCACCAAGUCUACGAUGGAUAGGGGUUCUGAGAGGAAGGUCCCCCACAUUGGAACUGAGACACGGUCCAAACUCCUACGGGAGGCAGCAGUGAGGAAUAUUGGUCAAUGGACGAGAGUCUGAACCAGCCAAAGUAGCGUGAAGGAUGACUGCCCUAUGGGUUGUAAACUUCUUUUAUAAGGGAAUAAAGUGAGGGACGUGUCCCUUUUUGUAUGUACCUUAUGAAUAAGGAUCGGCUAACUCCGUGCCAGCCGCCGC
rnacentral:rRNA from 1 species